GGACGCCCCGGGGGGUCCCCCCGCGAGGGACAAGGGGACAAGGGUGCCUUUGUUUCGGGGAGAGGGGGAAGGGGUGGGCUCCAGCCUGUCCCCCCCUUACACCACCCCCGUGCGGUGACAGGAGGAGUUGCUAAUGAGGCUGAAGAUUUCAGAGAAGAGGGGAUGGUUUGGAGCAGAGGAGCGCUGGGGAUACCCAAGUGUGGACUGGGUUAUCUCUGCAUCCCUCUCCAUUGCAAUGUCAGCAAGAAAAGCCAGGAUGGCAUGCAGAUUGUUUUCAUUUGCAUCAGGGCCUGUCUUUGGCUCUAUGAAUAAAAAAGGAUCUUUGAAUACUGCCUGCCUCUACCAAGCUGAGUGCUCCUAAUUUCCAGCUCUGCAGUGCGUGUACGUGCUUGGCCAGCAGAAUCAGACCUGGACCUACAAGCGGCAAUCUUCCCUGACUGCGCCAUUAACGUGUUGUGAGACACGGAGCUGUUGGUGCCUGAAAGCCCGAGCAGACCCAAAUGAGCAUGCCAAAGGCAACACAAAACCCCAAGACAUUGUUUUCCAGUACAUGAGCAGAAGCUUUUGGCCGCUGCAGGAGAGUUCCCCUCUGUCUCAUAUGAAGCUGCUGUAAAGUAUUUGCCACUGCCUUGAUGUUCUCCCACCCAAUGGAAUUUAAUCACUGAGAUGGAAUGAAGAGCACAGCACAGAGAGCAGGCAUGGUCCAGACCUCAUAGGUCUAAUUAUGCUCUUAAAGGGUCGCACCCACUGCGCUGGCUGUGGACGCGAGAAGAAAUGUGCCGGAGCAGAGCAGAGCAGAGCAGGUCCCUGCCAAGAGGCUGGACAGGGAGGACGGCAGGUCUGCAUGAGAGGAUGUCCCCUGCCGUGGGCAGCACUGGGGGACACGCUGGCCUUUGGGGGAGCUGCCCAGAGAGCAUCUGUCUGCACCUCCUCAUCCUGCAUCCCGCACUUUGAUGGAGCAGUGGUCACCGGUGAUGAUAACAAGAUGUCCACAUCCUUAGCUGACCUUGGGAAAGAGCUCCACGCUGAAGGCUGUACAUCCUGCUUCCCGGUGAGACCCAAGCUGUACGCGCGCCAGGGAGGCAGCUGUGAACUGUGAAAAGUAUUUGCAGAAAAGCUUAUUUUCGAAGAGGGACUGAAUUGUUGAGCUUGGUCACAGAAGCUGCUCUGGAAGAGCCUGCAAGAGCAAAUGCAAAUGUAUCAUCACAACACUGAAUUUAUAGUCAAAGAUAAUAUUGUUGGUACGAAGCUGGAUACACUGAAGAUAUUCAAGACCGAGGGACCAGAACCUCUUGCAUCCAUACCUGUGACAAAUCAAGAAGGUCAACUGCUUAUGCCGAUACGUAGUUUGGGAAGGACAAAACUAAUCAACGUUACAGACCGUGUUGGAAGAUGUUCUGCAAGUGCCAAGUGAUUAUUCUAUCAUGAAACUUGAACUGCAUUUGGUGUCCUACAUUUUAAAGAAUGGGAGCUGCACCUGAACGUCACAGCUUGCUGCACAAUGUGAUCAGGCGUGAUUUCAAAAUGCAGUCGGUGCCAUUUCAGUAUCUGCAUGUGGAACAAUAGUGGGAUUCAGCCAAGGAAAUCUACUGGGGAUUUUUGUUCAUUAACAAUUUGAGACUCUUAUUUUCAAACGAAGCAGUGUGCUUUGGGCUGUACACUUCAAUAUAUCUUGAAACUGCCAAGCUUUUAGGGAAGGUGAAGGUAAGUACAAGCCUCUUAAGAUGCCUCAAGUUGGGUUCCCCAAAAACGGGUCAUGCAGUGACACAACCAAUGAUUAAAAUCUUUUCUAAAUAUGUUAAGGAAAACAAUUUACUGCUGCUGUCACCUAGUGGAGGCAACCGCUGCUUAGGUGGACUGCACUGUGCUUUGAUGCUGAAGGUUCCAGUGUCAAACACCGACAGUGGUUUUAAACACCUAUGCACAUGCAUAUGGGUUGGGUUUUGUUUUGUUUUUCCUGUUAAACUCUUUCACACAGGUGGCUCCCUACCUUCCUUGCGUGAGCAGUCAGAUCAAGGCCCAGCUCAACAGAGACAAAAAUGUAAGGACAAGACUUAAAAGAAUUAUUCUAAAGUCAAAUAAGCACACACAGGUCUUGUUGGGGUUUUUUUCAGUAUGUGCUUUGUUCUAUGUGCUAAGUAGGAUUUAGAAUGAUGCACUAAUGGCCACUUCUUGUAAAUGUAAGAGGAGAUUGUUUUACUCCUGAGAAUUAAGUAUCACAGCAUUUAUUAAUAGUUUCCACACUGACAUAUUAAAAACUGAAUUUCAAAAGAAAUGAGUCAUUCUUUUAAAUCCACAACAAAAUAUUAAUGCAACAUCUGUAAAAAUGAAGAGUAAUUAUAUAUAAAAAACUGUAAGCCUCUAUCUACCACUUGACUUAUGGAAAUGAUUCAGAAGGCUCCAGUUCACUUUAGAUACCAAAAUCUCCAGUGUUCAGAACUUCAUUUCUAAUAGAUCCUGAACCACCACAUCACGUUAAGUCCAUGUCCAGUGCUAUGUGUGCAAACAGCUACAUGGGUUUCUCUCCAGGAUGCUUUAAGUUGGCCAUAUACAGCAGUAUUUCUGUGAAUUGCAGCCAACAGACAGAACAUGUUGCUGUACUUUAAGACUUUCUAAAUAUGAAAUAAUUGUAACAUCUUGCCUUAUAAACUUAGGCAAGUCUUCCCUGGUUAUUUUCCAUUUUAUAUAGCAAUAUUUUAUAAAACAAAACUACACUUCUUAUUUUGGACUAUGAACAUGAAUAUUUAUUUCAACUAUAACAGCAAACAUACUUUAAUGGUCAAAGAUAAACACUGAAUUUUCAGUGGUAUCUUGUAGGUCAUGUAGGUAAAUACAGCGUGCACAGAAAUUCUUCAUUGUGAAAAACACAUCAAUUGCAAAAAUUCAAGUUAAAGUAGAAAUUAGGAUUGAUCAAACAUCACACAUUUGAAUGAAAAAAUCAGUUUCUACUUCAGUGGUACAGAGAAUAUUUGUGUCAGUUAACUCAACUAAUAGUUAGCAAAAUCCUUCAGAUUGACAUUAUACUGUACUGCGGUGGUUUUGCUCUCUUUAUUCAGUAGCAAGAUCCAUGGACAUAGGGCAACUGACUUUUCUUUUUAAUUAUUCCAAAUAGCUGGAAUCUUGUCUAAGGGCCUGACCCAGAUCCAUGGGAUCUGUUGCUUGUCCAGUUCUUGUUCACACAUCCCAAAGGCAGGUGGUCACUAAAAAAGGACUGAGAUAUCACUGACCAGGCUGGCGCAACAUCUAGUGGGCAGCCAGUAGCCACAUAUAUAAUUAAUUAGAGAAAACUAUUCAUCACAUAUCAGGUACAGGUUGCAGGCAAUGAAUUACUUCAUAUCAGCCAAUUAAUGGUAGCUGUGCAUAUAAUAUAUUUAAGCUCUAGGAAAUAUGUUAAUCUGAGUUGGUUUAGUCCUCAGUGACAGUGUGACACUCAUUUCUGCGCAUAAUCAUUUCUGAUAAACUAGAUUAUUUCAUAAUAUUCAUGAUGUGACUACUUUUGUAGAAGGAUGUUAAUAACUAUUCCAGGGAAUUUGACCUUUCAGACACAUUUAAUUGUACAUUCUUGUGAGUCUGACAGAAAUACUUCAAGAUUGAUGACCCUGAUUCUACAUUUUAUUACAAUGCAAGAGCAUACUAAAAAUAUUUCCAUUUGUAGAAAAAUUAGUGCAGCCUUUGACAAUCUGUUCUCCAGCUUAAUUUUUCCUUUUAAUAGUAAAGUGGCCUCUUGUGUAAUUUGUUAAGGGGAAACAAUGGACAUGAAGAAUUGUUUUGCAUGAAGUGUAUAAGGAACAUUGCAUUUCAAAAGCCAUGCCCUAGAGAACUUAUAAAUAUGUUAUAAAACCCUGAAAAA